rnacentral:rRNA from 1 species
UACGGAGGGGGCUAGCGUUGUUCGGAAUUACUGGGCGUAAAGCGCACGUAGGCGGUGGCGCAUGUCAGACGUGAAAUCCCUGAGCUCAACUCAGGAACUGCACUCGAAACUACUUGUCUUGAGUACCGGAGAGGAAAGCGGAAUACCUGGUGUAGAGGUGAAAUUCGUAGAUAUCAGGUGGAACACCAGUGGCGAAGGCGGCUUUCUGGACGGUAACUGACGCUGAGACGCGAAAGCGUGGGGAGCAAACAGG